UACGUAGGGGGCUAGCGUUGUCCGGAAUUAUUGGGCGUAAAGAGCUCGUAGGCGGCUCGUCGCGUCGGCUGUGAAAACCCGGAGCUCAACUCCGGGCCUGCAGUCGAUACGGGCGGACUCGAGUUCGGCAGGGGAGACUGGAAUUCCUGGUGUAGCGGUGAAAUGCGCAGAUAUCAGGAGGAACACCGAUGGCGAAGGCAGGUCACUGGGCCGCAACUGACGCUGAGACGCGAAAGCGUGGGGAGCGAACAGG
rnacentral:rRNA from 1 species